GAAGGAUUAGUUAAUAUAUAACACCAGAAUGUCAAACUGGAAUAAUCGGUUAGAUAUCCUUCU
rnacentral:tRNA from 1 species